AUAGAAUCAGGUCAAAUCCACCAGGACUCUUCCGAGAGCUGGCUGCUUGUCUAAACUGAGUAAUCUGAGGAGUAGGUCCUUAGUCAGGGAGGUGACCAAGAACCUGAUGCUCACUCUGUCAGAGCACCAGUAUUCCUCUGUGGAGAGAGGAGAACCUUCUAGAAGAACAACCAUCUCUGCA